rnacentral:rRNA from 1 species
UGGGGAAUAUUGCACAAUGGGCGCAAGCCUGAUGCAGCAACGCCGCGUGAGCGAGGAAGGCCUUCGGGUCGUAAAGCUCUGUCCUAGGGGAAGAAGAAGUGACGGUACCCAAGGAGGAAGCCCCGGCUAACUACGUGCC